CCACCCUCCCACCCCGUCUGUCUUGGGCUGUGGGCUGGGUCCACCUUGGCCGAGAGUUGUCCCAUUCCUCACGUGACGCCUGGAGCGCUGGGAGGCCGGCAGCCCCUGGCAGCACAGCGCCCCCUGCCUGCAGCGCUGCUCUGCUCCUCUCUCCAUCUAGCAGGGGGUCCCUGCUCACAUGGGAUGGGCAUGGGUGGGACUCAUGGUCUCCUUCAACCAGGUUGACUGAGUGCCUACUAGAGGGCACCGGGAGGCGACGCAGCCAGAGGGAAGCAGAUUCGGAGCCAGGCUGCCUGCGCGGACUCCCGGUUCCCUCACUGACCAGCCGCGUGGCACUGGGCAGACGCCUCAGCGUUCUCGAGUUCAUUUCCUCACCGGUGAUAUGGAGAUGGCCCUGGCAGCUACCUCACGGGGAGGGUAGAAAGAGCAAAUGAAUUAACGCACAGAGAGCACUCAGCAGAGACGUACUGUGCACACGUUCGCUCCUGUCCCAGGCCAGGGCUGCUGUAGGCGUCCGAAGACGCGGGCUUCGCUCAGGAGCUGCACCACAUGACACGGGAGGGGACAGGUGCACGAGGCGUGGGAACAUGCAGGUGUCGCUCAGUAGCUGUGCCACACAGCACUGGGAGGGGACAGGUGCACGAGGUGGAGACUAACAGAGACGCUGCGCUCUGGAGCAGGACUGCAGGCAGGCCCUCCGGGAGGGGAAGCCGAGCCCCGCGGACAUGCAGGCUCAGCAGAUGCAGGGGAAAUGGAGUAGGCACAGCGUCCUAGCAGUGGCUCCCCAAGCUCUUCCUGAACCAGAACUCAGAGCCCCAGACCUGCCAAGAGGCUGCCCAGACAGCGGGACGGGAGCGGCUGGAGAGGGCCCCGCCUCACCUGGGUCCCCAUCCUUGUCCGAGUGAUGGGGGCACGGAUCCUCACCGCCUGGGGCAGCAGCACCUCCACCUCCAGAGAUCCUAGGAAAAGGGCUUCGGGGCUCAGGCCAGCGGGGGGUAGGGCCAUGUGCUGGGUCGGGUGUUUCAGGAAGGGACCCUUCCAAGGAAGGAGGCUCCUGCCGAGGCCAGCUCAGAAUCACAUGGCCAGAAGGCACCCACAGGGUGUCCAGCAUCAUGCUUCUCUGCCGGAGGCUGCCUGGCUUUGUGGGUGGCUCACCCCACAGGGAUCUGGCCACCGUCCUCCCUUCCCUCUGGACAUCCCAGCCUGGUCUUCUG
rnacentral:lncRNA from 1 species